rnacentral:rRNA from 1 species
UACGUAGGUGGCAAGCGUUGUCCGGAAUUAUUGGGCGUAAAGCGCGCGCAGGCGGUUUCUUAAGUCUGAUGUGAAAGCCCCCGGCUCAACCGGGGAGGGUCAUUGGAAACUGGGAAACUUGAGUGCAGAAGAGGAAAGUGGAAUUCCAAGUGUAGCGGUGAAAUGCGUAAGAGUAGUUGAGGAACACCAGUGGCGAAGGCGACUUUCUGGUCUGUAACUGACGCUGAGGCGCGAAAGCGUGGGGAGCAAACAGG